CUCUUCCCUCCCUCAGGUCCCGCCAGCCAGCUGGAGCAUCUGCCCAUCCGGUUAGGGUGGUCUCUGGGGAUCGGUAGGUGGAGACAAGGCAGCUCUACAUCAUGCCGGCCCAGAGGACGUGUGCUGGGCGAGCUGUGUCCGUGAGAGAAUGCAGUGCUGGGGCCUUGUCUCCUGUAGCUCAUCAACUGCCCCAGGGUCAGGUGGGUGGGGUGCCCGAAGCUGUCCAAGCACCAGCCGAGCAUCUGUGUUGCUUGCUGGGGAGACAACUUGUCACAGUUUCCUUCAACUGUGAGUCACCCCUGCACCUCCAAGAAGCAGCUCUGGAAGCCCGUUGAGGAAACACACAGGGGAGACUGGCAGCAGCUUCAGCCCAUCUGGAAACCAUAAACGGGCUCCUUGCCUCGGUGACCCGUCACUACUCAGCUGGAGCUGCCAUCCCCGUGGACACACCUGACUGCCCAGCACGUGGGGAAGCAGACCCGUCAGCCAACUCCAUGUCACUGCAGAGUCAGCAGCCAACGUCGGACGUGAACCUGAUAGCUCUAGCCAGGACGUUCUCAUGCAUUCCUCUCCGCCUUUACCCAUGGCCAACACUAAUUCUUAGAAACAAGACAUAUAGAACUAUCUUUCU
rnacentral:lncRNA from 1 species